UCCCUCUUAGCUCAGUUGGUAGAGCGCGUCACUAGUACGUUUCUGCCGGAAAUCGCUUCAUGACGAGGUCAGUCGUUCAAAUCGGCUAGCGGGAA